rnacentral:rRNA from 1 species
AAACAUAUUUAAUAGAAUUAAUUAUUAAUAAUACCUGCUCAAUGAUAUUAAAUAGCCGCAGCUCAUACUGUGCUAAGGUAGCAUAAUCAUUUGUCUUUUAAUUGAAGACUAGAAUGAAAGGUUUAACAUUUAAAGCUUUUUAUAAAUUUUCAAUUAUAAAUUUAUUUUAAAUGUAAAAAAACAUUUAUAAAUUAGAUAGACGACAAGACCCUAUUGAACUUUACUGUAGUUUAACUGGGGCAGUUAAUUAAUUAAUAUUUUAACAUUUUAUUUUUUUUUUUAAAAAAAAAUGACCCAAUUCAAUUGAUUAAAUGAUCAAGCUACCAUAGGGAUAACAGCGUUAUAUUUUUCUAUAGUUCUUAUAUAAAAAAAUGAUUGCGACCUCGAUGUUGAAUUAAUUUUUCUAGUAUGUGCAUCCACAUAAAUAGAAAGUCUGUUCGACUUUUAAAUAAUUACA